ACGAACGCUUGCGGCGUGCUUAACACCUGCAAGUCGAACGGAAAGGCCCUGCUUUUGUGGGGUGCUCGAGUGGCGAACGGGUGAGUAACACGUGAGUAACCUGCCCUUGACUUUGGGAUAACUUCAGGAAACUGGGGCUAAUACCGGAUAGGAGCUCCUGCUGCAUGGUGGGGGUUGGAAAGUUUCGGCGGUUGGGGAUGGACUCGCGGCUUAUCAGCUUGUUGGUGGGGUAGUGGCUUACCAAGGCUUUGACGGGUAGCCGGCCUGAGAGGGUGACCGGCCACAUUGGGACUGAGAUACGGCCCAGACCCCUACGGGAGGCAGCAGUGGGGAAUAUUGCACAAUGGGCGGAAGCCUGAUGCAGCAACGCCGCGUGCGGGAUGACGGCCUUCGGGUUGUAAACCGCUUUCGCCUGUGACGAAGCGUGAGUGACGGUAAUGGGUAAAGAAGCACCGGCUAACUACGUG
rnacentral:rRNA from 1 species